AUUGAACGCUGGCGGAAUGCUUUACACAUGCAAGUCGAACGGUAGAGGGGGCAACCCCUUGAGAGUGGCGAACGGGUGAGUAAUAUAUCGGAACGUGCCCAGUCGUGGGGAUAACGUAGCGAAAGUUACGCUAAUACCGCAUACGAUCUAAGGAUGAAAGCGGGGGAUCGCAAGACCUCGCGCGAUUGGAGCGGCCGAUAUCAGAUUAGGUAGUUGGUGAGGUAAAGGCUCGACCAAGCCAACGAUCUGUAGCUGGUCUGAGAGGACGACCAGCCACACUGGAACUGAGACACGGUCCAGACUCCUACGGGAGGCAGCAGUGGGGGAAUUUUUGGGACGAAUUGGGACGCAAGGUCUGAUCCAGCCAUUCCGCGUGCAGGAUGACGGUCCUAUGGAUUGUAAACUGCUUUUAUACAGGAAGAAACACUCCGACGUGUCGGAGC
rnacentral:rRNA from 1 species